UACUUUAAUUAUAAUUAUGAAUAUCUCAGUGAAGAUGGGUUGAUACUCUGCUGAGACAGUUUGUACAUAGCGAAUGUGUAUAGAAAGAUAUUUUUAUAUGCAAGUCGUAUUUUAGUUGGAGACAGCUAAAAUAGAGAGAAAAAUUCUCGAUUAUAAAAACUGGUGCCAAGAGUUAACGCUUUGAAAGGUAUAGAACUUGUGGUUGGCGUAAUAGACGUUCCAGUGGAAAAUAAGCCUUAGACAGUUAUGGGGGCAUAGCAAGUUAAUAAGGUAAUCCCAAAACAAGCCAAUUUGUCUUGAUGUUUUAGAAAUGAAACUAUAACACAAGUCGCUAGUAAAAGUAGCCUUAUGACAGGAUGAAGAUUAUUCUAUUACAUAAUUGGUGUAAGAAAAUAAAAAGUGCUGAAUAUUGGGUGAAAUUUGUGAGUAGUCAUUCUCACAUAGGUAAAGUCGAAAGACGGGGUGUAAAGUCAAGGGUCGCUCCCGGAAACUCAGCUACAUCUCCCUAGUGACUGAAUAUCAAAGAAGUUGAUGGAGGUAAGGCGAAGGUCUAUUCAUAAUUAUAAUUAAGG
rnacentral:sRNA from 12 species